rnacentral:lncRNA from 1 species
AAGAAUGCCAGCUAAUAGACGCAGAAGAAUAAAGAAAUUAGAAAAUCUACCAGUUUGCAGCCCUGAAUGAAGUAAAUGAUUCAGACGAGGAUCAUCAAGGAGACUUAAAGCCAUCGGGAAUUAGGGGAGAAGGAGGAAACAUCAAAACAAACCUGCUGGAGGAGGGUGGCGUCCUCACAGCACACUGGUUGGCUCUGCAGUGAACGACGUUUACAUAGUCACAACAAUGCAAUCACUGUUUAAUGACUGUCCACUCCUAAAAUUGAGUCAAACCAGAAGACUUUAGGUAAAAGUACACAGUAUAAACAUCCUCCACCUUGACAAUGUAGACGUUUAAGCCCGACAACGGAGAGGAAAGGGAUAGGAGCUCAGUAGGGAUGUUAACACCUUCAUCUUACAAAAGGAGGAGGCAGAAGAUGCUGCUAUUGACCUAACAAGAUCUGAACUUCACUCUAUUUUUAAGUUGUGAAAUGACUGCAGCAAUGACAAGCAUCCUUAUUCCCUCCCUGGUGUUAACAGAUGCACAUCUGAUGUCCCACGCAAGC